CGAAUUGCCUCCCUCACCCUUUCCUCUGGGUCUUUCUUGAGGUUGGCUGGCCCAGCUUCCCGCAGACACGAAGAAGGGAAAUGCUGCCAGGGGUUCCGGCCUCUCCCAGCCUCCCUGAGAAAAUCUGCAUCUUGAUGGGGAGCGGAGCUGAGACCACGGUCCUGAGUCAGAGGACUUGUGGGAUUGGAGCGCCCUCUGCUGGCAAGAUCGAGGUACAGCCGGGAGAGUGGUACACCCUCAGGAGCAGCUGCAUUGAAACCCUGCUGUUAGGAUGCUGGCAGGCGGGUCUAGGGGUUAGUACACAGGCAAGCCUUUCCUGCUGGGCGUGGACACAUUCAAGGACACAUACCAUGCCCUGUAAUUCAGAUGCGAGCGUGUCUUUGCGUACACAUCUUCCAUUUCUGCUGCGCCUGGGAUGACAUCACCUGGGGUCUGCCGCAAUGCAGUUAAUGGAGUUAGCGUCAACUCCACAGGUUAAGCACUGGGUCCCCCACACACUACCCCACUGUGCUUCCAGCCACAAGCGGGAUUCCCCAGGACCAGCACGUCUGACCAGCCAGAAACAAAGUAGUGAGUUCCCAUGACCCUUCAGGUUUGGUAAUUCACUACCCUAAACCCUCAGAACUCACUGUUUAAGUGCUGUUCUGUUGAUGGCAGUUUCAUUUAUUUUAUAAAGGUUACAACUCAGGAGCAGCCAGAUGAAGAGGCCUGCAGGGCAAGACCUGGGGGAGAGGGUGUGGAGUUGGGGC
rnacentral:lncRNA from 1 species